CCCCACCAACACCAUCGCCGGUACGUGCAGCCAUCUGGAAUUUCUUCUAGUACGCGCAAUCGUUGUUCUAUUCCCAUGCACAAGAUAUAAUCAGUUGGGGUUGGAUCUAUAGUUAUUUUUUAAUCAGAUGUAGCUGUUGUCGAAUCCGUCAUGCAGUCCCCUGUUUUUAAGAUUUACUACAGAUUUAUUAGUAUACAUAUCUGCAUGUCUACUCUCUGUUUUGAGAUUUGUUUUGCUAUGUUAGGUUGUCAGAUUAGAUACUUCAGAAUUGGUGGCUUGAUUUAAGUUGGGAUGCUUCCUUAGGAUUGAGAUAAUGAUGUAGUGUUACAUUCUGCUGUUUCAGAUUGAACAUAGCAUAGUUUGGCAGCACCGUUUAAAAAAAACCAUAAUCUAUAACCGCAGUUUUUAAAUGUGUGGGCAAGGAAUAUUCAAGUUUCUAAAAACCAAUCUCAUUUUAUCAACUUUGGACGUAGGCGAGGCGACGAGUUCUUUCAGUUCAGUUUAGUAAAAAGAGGCCCCGACCUCUUUUUUAAAUACCGCAAAAAACCAUAGUAUGAUAGAUAUGAAAGUACAGUAUUUUUUUUAUUCAAUCCCCUCAAAGUAUUUAAUACCAAAGUUAUUAGGUCCCUUCUAGGUUUAAUAUUCCCAAAUUAUUUCCAACUUAGAUAUCUGGUAAGCACAUGGACAAAAUUGUGGUUUGAAGACAAAUGUCGUGCCCUCCAACUUUUUGUCUGGAAUAUUUUUUCAGAGACUGCACUUCAAAACUAACAGUGAUUGAUAGCUUGAUAUGAUACACAAAUCACAGUACAAAGUUAAGAUGGCAAUGAGGUACCUUUCCAUCCAUCAUCCCUAGUUUACACAUUUGUCCAGGAUCGGACUCACCUAAUGAAUACUCAUGCUAAUCAACAAUUUUCCUAGGAUGUUACUUAGAAUUUUGGCAUGGUACUGUGGUGAUUUGUAGGCUCGCUUUUUUUAUUUCUCCAUGGCUUGUAGCUAUGACUUCAAAUCCGUCAUGGACACCCAUCGUACCUUGUUCUUUCUCAGUUCAGUUAGUAUCCAUUUGAAUUAGUUUUGUAAGAAUUCAGUUAGUUAAUAAAAACAUUUGGGAAGGCCUGAUUCUUAAGAAUUGGGUUUAGGUGAGACAAAAUUUGUGUGUUAGUAAUAAUAAAAUGAAACUACACAUCCGAUUUUAGACUAAUUUCUUCGUUCUGGACAAUAUAGUCCGUACAUCUCCUUCCUGAUCGACGCCCACAAUAUAGCAGUUGUAGUACUUUUCAGUUUUGCUUUUGUUAAGAUUUAAUCUUGGCUUUUCAGCUUUGGCGAAAAGAAUUUGCUUGCUUUGACAUUAGCUUGAUGGGUGGACUUGUUGGUCGUACAUUUUCCAUGUACUUACUUAUUUCCUGUGCUAUUCAUGAUGUUGCAGAUUUCUGCAAAUUUCUGUAAGGUAUUCAAAAUUACUUAUUUCCUGUGCUAUUCAUGAUGUUGCAAACCUUCUAGCAGCAUCAUUUUAACUGGUUAAAACCAUUCCCUCUUACUAUUCAUGAUGUUGCAAAUUUCUGUAAGGUAUUCAAAAGUAGUUAAGUAUUUACUCAUUUGCAUUAAAAUAUCUUUUCUAAAAUAUACUGGUUGUGAUUAGUUUUUCUAUUGUACUGAUCCAGGUUUGUGUCUUCUUACUAAGUACACACUAGUUGAGCAGCUGAGCUUGAGGCAGCAACCAAGGAGCUUGAGGCGUUGCAUGUUGAUCAAAAUCAAGAAACACAUGUAAGUACUAUGGUGCAGCAGUUCCAUUGGUUUCCAUAUUCCAUGGCAUGUGUGAUGAAUAACCAAUGCUCUUUCUAUGCAACAUGGAACACGAUUUCUUACAUGUCAUCCUUCUUGUUGACCCAUGUGUAAAAUUGUGGCGUUGCUGCCACCAUGGGUGCUACAUGAUGCUUUUAUUGUACAUAGGUGUGUUACGAGACAAAAUUAUCAAUUGUGUGUUUUUGUAUUAUGCCCUCUGUUGUGCUACUUGCUAUACUGUAUCCAGUGAGUACCCCCACCCAUAUAAUUAGCACACACUAGGAAUUCUUCUUUUAUGGAGGUAAGUAAAUGAAGAUGUAUGUACGCAAUAGCCAGUUUAUUGGCUUAAAUUUCACUUUUUAAAGCAAUCUGUUAUGUUGUCUCUGAUUUGGUUUACAAACAUGUUAAUUGUUAAGUGAAAGAAAGCAAAUUCAACUAAUAUUAUUGUACAUCUGCACAAUUAGAAUGGUGAAUCUGAUGGUUACUUAACCUGACUUUAAAUCUGACUAUUUACUUGGUGGAAUGAGCUCAACAUGAUGCUGAAAAUUUUGUUCAUGAUAGAAUACUAUUUACUUGGUAGAAUACUAUUUAUCACCAUUCAUUCUCAUUGUUCAUGAUGCUGAAAAUUUUGUAGUGCAUUGGAAAGCUACUACUGCAGAAUAACCAGGCCCGUAUGAUGCAUCUGUUAUAGCACUUGGGAGUUUUGUGAUGUGUGUUUUGUUUCUUUGUCAUUUGACUUUCAUUUGACACAACUUUUCUUUGGAUUAAUUUUAAAAACCUCAUGUUUCUUCUUGUUUUAUAGUAGAUGUAAUGUUAUUCUCAUUUGUAGCAUUAUUAAGAUUUAAGAAUCUUAGAUAGCAUGUAAUUCAUUUUUAUCUUUGUUGCAAUUCUCUUAUUUCUACUAUCUAUUCAUAUCUACAAAUAUCUAAUAUUCUUGUAAAUAUGCUAGGUAAGAUUGGGUAGCAAGUUACUUGGUGUUUCCUAUCACAAUCAGCCACAACAUGAUAAUUGCCACAAGAAGGCCGAGGAUGAGAACAUGAAUAAGAGUCUUAAUAGUUUAUAUGGUUUGUUGAUGUAAAAUUGCUGGUUCCUAACCUUGAUGUGAUAUAUUUUAUCAAUCUAUGUUGUAAGUUAUAAUUUCGUAGACGAUUUUGGAGGAAUAAACUGCUAUGUUGUACAUACAUACAGUUGGCUGCAUACUCGGUGAACCGUAUAAUGUUUGACACCUUGCAAAUACUUCCUCUUGGGUCAAAGUUGGCAUUAGGAUCUAUGUGAUGCAUUAUGCUAAAAAUGUACUGGUUGAAAAUUAGGCCGAAAUAAAUGUGCUAAUAAUGGGCUCGACCCAAUUUAUA
rnacentral:lncRNA from 1 species